rnacentral:rRNA from 1 species
UACGUAGGUGGCAAGCGUUGUCCGGAUUUACUGGGCGUAAAGAGCGCGCAGGCGGUCGUUCAAGUCGCGUGUGAAAGCCCCCGGCUCAACUGGGGAGGGUCACGCGAUACUGAUCGACUCGAAGGCAGGAGAGGGUAGUGGAAUUCCCAGUGUAGCGGUGAAAUGCGUAGAUACUGGGAGGAACACCGGUGGCGAAGGCGGCUACCUGGACCGGUUCUGACGCUGAUGCGCGAAAGCGUGGGUAGCAAACAGG